rnacentral:rRNA from 1 species
UUGGCCUUGACAUACUAAGAACUUUCCAGAGAUGGAUUGGUGCCUUCGGGAACUUAGAUACAGGUGCUGCAUGGCUGUCGUCAGCUCGUGUCGUGAGAUGUUGGGUUAAGUCCGCAACGAGCGCAACCCUUUCCUAUUUGCCAGCGGGUAAUGCCGGGAACUUUAAGGAUACUGCCAGUGACAAACUGGAGGAAGGCGGGGACGACGUCAAGUCAUCAUGGCCCUUACGGCCAGGGCUACACACGUGCUACAAUGGUCGGUACAAAGGGUUGCUACCUCGCGAGAGGAUGCUAAUCUCAAAAAGCCGAUCGUAGUCCGGAUCGCAGUCUGCAACUCGACUGCGUGAAGUCGGAAUCGCUAGUAAUCGCGGAUCAGAAUGCCGCGGUGAAUACGUUCCCGGGCCUUGUACACACCGCCCGUCACACCAUGGGAGUUUGUUGCACCAGAAGUAGGUAGUCUAACCGCAAGGAGGACGCUUACCACGGUGUGGCCGAUGACUGGGGUGAAGUCGUAACAAGGUAAGCGUAGAUGA